rnacentral:rRNA from 1 species
AACGAACGCUGGCGGCAGGCUUAACACAUGCAAGUCGAACGAGAGGCUUCUUUCGGGAAGUGGAGAGUGGCGCACGGGUGAGUAACGCGUGGGGAUCUACCCUUUGGUACGGGAUAACGUUUGGAAACGAACGCUAAUACCGUAUGUGGUCUACGGACUAAAGAUUUAUCGCCAAAGGAUGAACCCGCGUAAGAUUAGAUAGUUGGUGGGGUAAUGGCCUACCAAGUCUACGAUCUUUAGCUGGUCUGAGAGGACGAUCAGCCACACUGGAACUGAGACACGGUCCAG